rnacentral:rRNA from 1 species
GUAGGUGGCAAGCGUUGUCCGGAAUUAUUGGGCGUAAAGCGCGCGCAGGCGGUCCUUUAAGUCUGAUGUGAAAGCCCACGGCUCAACCGUGGAGGGUCAUUGGAAACUGGGGGACUUGAGUACAGAAGAGGGAAGCGGAAUUCCAAGUGUAGCGGUGAAAUGCGUAGAGAUUUGGAGGAGCACCAGUGGCGAAGGCGGCUUUCUGGUCUGUAACUGACGCUGAGGCGCGAAAGCGUGGGGAGCAAACAGGGAUUAGAUACCCUGGUAGUCCACGCCGUAAACGAUGAGUGCUAAGUGUUAGGGGGUUUCCGCCCCCUUAGUGCUGCAGCUAACGCAUUAAGCACUCCGCCUGGGGAGUACGGCCGCAAGGCUG